rnacentral:rRNA from 1 species
AUUGAACGCUGGCGGCAGGCCUAACACAUGCCAGUCGAGCGGAUGAAGGGAGCUUGCUCCUGGAUUCAGCGGCGGACGGGUGAGUAAUGCCUAGGAAUCUGCCUGGUAGUGGGGGAUAACGUCCGGAAACGGACGCUAAUACCGCAUACGUCCUGAGGGAGAAAGUGGGGGAUCUUCGGACCUCACGCUAUCAGAUGAGCCUAGGUCGGAUUAGCUAGUUGGUGGGGUAAAGGCCUACCAAGGCGACGAUCCGUAACUGGUCUGAGAGGAUGAUCAGUCACACUGGAACUGAGACACGGUCCAGACUCCUACGGGAGGCAGCAGUGGGGAAUAUUGGACAAUGGGCGAAAGCCUGAUCCAGCCAUGCCGCGUGUGUGAAGAAGGCCUUCGGAUUGUAAAGCACUUUAAGUUGGGAGGAAGGGCAGUAAGUUAAUACCUUGCUGUUUUGACGUUACCAACAGAAUAAGCACCGGCUAACUUCGUG